UGCAUGUGUGUGUAUUUGUGUUCCCUGAGA
rnacentral:piRNA from 1 species